rnacentral:rRNA from 1 species
GAUGAACGCUAGCGGCAGGCUUAACACAUGCAAGUCGAGGGGUAACAGGGAGCUUGCUCCGCUGACGACCGGCGCACGGGUGCGUAACGCGUAUAGAACCUACCUUUUACAGAGGGAUAGCCUUUAGAAAUGAAGAUUAAUACCUUAUGGUAUUGUAGACUGGCAUCAGUUUAUAAUUAAAGAUUUAUCGGUAAAAGAUGGCUAUGCGUCCUAUUAGCUAGAUGGUAAGGUAACGGCUUACCAUGGCAACGAUAGGUAGGGGCCCUGAGAGGGGGAUCCCCCACACUGGUACUGAGACACGGACCAGACUCCUACGGGAGGCAGCAGUGAGGAAUAUUGGGCAAUGGAGGCAACUCUGACCCAGCCAUGCCGCGUGCAGGAAGACUGCCCUAUGGGUUGUAAACUGCUUUUAUACAGGAAGAAACACACCUACGUGUAGGUGCUUGACGGUACUGUAAGAAUAAGCACCGGCUAACUCCGUGCCAGCAGCCGCGGUAAUACGGAGGGUGCAAGCGUUAUCCGGAAUCAUUGGGUUUAAAGGGUCCGCAGGCGGUCAAUUAAGUCAGAGGUGAAAUCCCAUAGCUUAACUAUGGAACUGCCUUUGAUACUGGUUGACUUGAGUUAUACGGAAGUAGAUAGAAUAAGUAGUGUAGCGGUGAAAUGCAUAGAUAUUACUUAGAAUACCGAUUGCGAAGGCAGUCUACUACGUAUAUA